AAGGACUGAUACCCAUCUAGAGGAUCAACUGAAACUGCAAACCUCCAUGCUGCAACCAAGUACAAAUGCUUUCCAAGCAGAAACAACAAAGUUGUUACAAGAUACACAGAAGAAAAACUCUUACUCUCCCCAUUAAAGAUGGAAACAAUGAGUUGUAAGCAGAGAAAUCAGAAAGGACUCAUACUGGCUGGUGGAACCACAAGUACCAGCACAAUGGAGCUUGAGUCUUUGCAAAGAGGACAGUUGC